rnacentral:rRNA from 1 species
AUACAUGCAAGUCGAGCGAAUGGAUUAAGAGCUUGCUCUUAUAAAGUUAGCGGCGGACGGGUGCCCAUAAGACUGGGAUAACUCCGGGAAACCGGGGCUAAUACCGGAUAACAUUUUGAACCGCAUGGUUCGAAAUUGAAAGGCCGCUUCGGUUGUCACUUAUGGAUGGACCCGCUUCGCAUGAGCUAG